GUAAAGCGCGCGUAGGUGGUUUGUUAAGUUGGAUGUGAAAUCCCCGGGCUCAACCUGGGAACUGCAUUCAAAACUGACUGACUAGAGUAUGGUAGAGGGUGGUGGAAUUUCCUGUGUAGCGGUGAAAUGCGUAGAUAUAGGAAGGAACACCAGUGGCGAAGGCGACCACCUGGACUAAUACUGACACUGAGGUGCGAAAGCGUGGGGAGCAAACAGGAUUAGAUACCCGU
rnacentral:rRNA from 1 species